AGGGUUUGAUCAUGGCUCAGAACGUACGCUGGCGGCACGCCUAACACAUGCAAGUCGAACGCAGUAGCAAUACUGAGUGGCAGUCGGGUGAGUAACAUGUGGGAAUCUGCCUUGUGGUUCAGGACAACAUUGGGAAACCGAUGCUAAUACUGGAUAAGCCCUUACGGGGAAAGUUUUAAUGCCAUAAGAUGAGCCCGCAUUUGAUUAGUUAGUUGGUGAGGUAAUGGCUCACCAAGACAAUGAUCAAUAGCUGAUCUGAGAGGAUGAUCAGCCACACUGGGACUGAGACACGGCCCAGACUCCUACGGGAGGCAGCAGUGGGGAAUCUUGCACAAUGGAGGAAACUCUGAUGCAGCGAUGCCGCGUGAGUGAAGAAGGCCUUUGGGUUGUAAAGCUCUUUUGUAGGGGAAGAUAAUGACUGUACCCUAAGAAUAAGGUCCGGCUAACUUCGUGCCAGCAGCCGCGGUAAUACGAAGGGACCUAGCGUAGUUCGGAAUUACUGGGCGUAAAGCGCGCGUAGGCCGUUGAGUUAGUUAAUUGUGAAAUCCCAAAGCUUAACUUUGGAACUGCAAUUAAAACUGCUCGACUAGAGUUUGAUAGAGGAAAGCGGAAUACAUAGUGUAGAGGUGAAAUUCGUAGAUAUUAUGUAGAACACCAGUUGCGAAGGCGGCUUUCUGGGUCAACACUGACGCUGAGGCGCGAAAGUAUGGGUAGCAAAGAGGAUUAGAUACCCUCGUAGUCCAUACCAUAAACGAUGAUUGCUAGAUGUUGGAAAUUUAUUUUCAGUAUCGCAGCUAACGCAUUAAGCAAUCCGCCUGGGGAGUACGACCGCAAGGUUAAAACUCAAAUGAAUUGACGGGGACCCGCACAAGCGGUGGAGCAUGUGGUUUAAUUCGAAGAUACGCGCAGAACCUUACCAACCCUUGACAUGUCUGUCGCGAGUUUAGGAAACUAGACUUUUCGGUUCGGCCGGACAGAACACAGGUGCUGCAUGGCUGUCGUCAGCUCGUGUCGUGAGAUGUUGGGUUAAGUCCCGCAACGAGCGCAACCCUUGUCUUUAGUUGCUACGCAAGAGCACUCUAAAGAGACUGCCGGUGACAAACCGGAGGAAGGUGGGGAUGACGUCAAGUCCUCAUGGCCCUUAUGGGUAGGGCUUCACACGUCAUACAAUGGUGCGUACAGAGGGUUGCCAACCCGCGAGGGGGAGCUAAUCUCUUAAAACGCAUCGUAGUCCGGAUCGUAGUCUGCAACUCGACUACGUGAAGCUGGAAUCGCUAGUAAUCGCGGAUCAGCAUGUCGCGGUGAAUACGUUCCCGGGUCUUGUACACACCGCCCGUCACACCAUGGGAGUGGGUUUUGCCAGAAGCAGUUAGCCUAACCGUAAGGGGGGCGAUUGCCACGGCAGGGUUCAUGACUGGGGUGAAGUCAUAACAAGGUAACCGUA
rnacentral:rRNA from 1 species